rnacentral:rRNA from 1 species
GACGAACGCUGGCGCCGCGGUAAUACAUGCAAGUAGAACGCUGAAGGAGGAGCUUGCUCUUCUGGAUGAGUUGCGAACGGGUGAGAAACGCGUAGGUAACCUGCCUGGUAGCGCGGGAUAACUAUUGGAAACGAUAGCUAAUACCGCGUAAGAGUGGAUGUCGCAUGAGAUUUGCUUAAAAGGUGCAAUUGCAUCACUACCAGAUGUACCUGUGUUGUAUUAGCUAGUUCGGGAGAGAACGCCUCACAAAGGCAACGCUACAUAGCGGAGCUGAGAGGGGGAUCGGGACACUGUGAACUCAGACACGCCCCAGACUCUUACGCGAGAGAGCACUCAGAAUCUUCGGCAAUAUACUGAAGCUCACCCGCGCACCGCCGCGUGAGUGAAGAAUGUUUUUCAGAUCUUUUAGCUCUGUAGAAAGAGAAGAGCGAGAGUGAGAUUGGCACAGUUCUCACUGUGUCGGGAUCUAAUCGGAGAGGGACGCCUCUCUACGCGCGAGCGGCCGCGGGGAUACCGCAUGCCCUCAGAGUUUUCCCCAUUUAUUGCGCGUAAAGCGAGCGCAGAGGGGUAGAGAAGAGUGAAGAUACACCCCGUGCCUUAACCCUAUGACACUUUGGAAACUAUUUCACAUGGGGCGAGGCAGUCAGUGCAAUUCCACAUGUAGAGAGAAAAUGCAGAAAUAAGGGGGGCACCCGUGGUUAAUUCGUUCUUUUGCUCGGAACGGCACUGGUCGCCGAAAAGUGUCGGUAUAAAGUUAGUUACCUGUUAUUGAAAGGAAAUGCCACGUGCGGCAGCCCUUGGGUGUCUACUCUAGCGCGGCCCGCCGUGGCCUCUCUCAUUCCUCCUUGUUAGUGCAGAACCGCUACUUUAGAUACCUUUCAGGCGCGCCGCUUCCUUCUGUCUUUUCUGAGAAGUCCGCGCGGAUAGUGCCAUUUUAAUUAUUAUAU